rnacentral:rRNA from 1 species
GGUUGGCUCAGAAGCAGCCAUCCUUUAAAGAGUGCGUAACAGCUCACUAGUCGAGUGACCCUGCGCCGAAAAUGUACCGGGGCUAAGCCUGAUACCGAAACUGCGGAUUGUAGGAAACUAUAGUGGUAGGGGAGCGUUGUAUACGAGCAGAAGCCGUACCGUGAGGAGCGGUGGAUUGUAUAGAAGUGAGAAUGCCGGUGUGAGUAGCGAGAUGUAGGUGAGAAUCCUACACACCGAAAGCCCAAGGAUUCCAGGGGAAGGUUCGUCCGCCCUGGGUAAGUCGGGACCUAACGCGAGGCCGAAAGGCGUAGUGGAUGGAAAGCAGGCGAAAGAUUCCUGCACCCGUAUAUGGAGCGAAGGAGUGACGGAGACGGAUAGUGUGACCCUCUUAAUGGAUUGAGGGCGAAGCGAAGCGGCUGGUUACCAGGCAAAUCCGGUAACCAAAAGGCUAGAGCGUGACAGGUAAGCGAAAUCUUCGGAAAGUAGCGAAGCACAUGAUGACGGCUUCCAGGAAAAGCUUCUGGCAAUGCAUAUGCGGCCCGUACCAAAACCGACACAGGUGGGCAGGGAGAGAAUCCCGAGGUGAGCGAGAGAACUGUUGCCAAGGAACUCGGCAAAAUGACUCCGUAAGUUAGCGAGAAGGAGUGCUUAAGCAAUUAAGCCGCAGUGAAGAGGCCCAAGCGACUGUUUAACUAAAACACAGCUCUCUGCGAAGUCGCAAGACGAAGUAUAGGGGGUGACACCUGCCCGGUGCUGGAAGGUUAAGAGGAUCUGUUAAGAGCGAUCUGAAGCAGUGAUCCGAAGCCCCAGUGAACGGCGGCCGUAACUAUAACGGUCCUAAGGUAGCGAAAUUCCUUGUCAGGUAAGUUCUGACCCGCACGAAAGGUGUAACGAUUUGGGCGCUGUCUCGGCAGCAGACUCGGUGAAAUCUUAGUACCUGUGAAAAUGCAGGUUACCCGCAACUAGACGGAAAGACCCCAUGGAGCUUUACUGCAGCCUGAUAUUGAAUUCUGGUCAUACAUGUACAGGAUAGGUGGGAGACAAAGAGACGUGCACGCCAGUGUACGAGGAGUCGACGUUGGGAUACCACUCUUGUGUGACCGGGGUUCUAACCUGGUAUCGAGAACAGGUACGGGGAGAGUGUCAGGUGGGCAGUUUGACUGGGGCGGUCGCCUCCCAAAGAGUAACGGAGGCGCCCAAAGGUACGCUCAGAUUGGAUGGAAACCAAUCGUCGAGUGCAAUUGCAGAAGCGUGCUUGACUGUGAGACAGACAAGUCGAACAGGGACGAAAGUCGGGAAUAGUGAUCCGGCGGUGCCGAAUGGAAGGGCCGUCGCUCAACGGAUAAAAGCUACCCUGGGGAUAACAGGCUGAUCUCGCCCAAGAGUUCACAUCGACGGCGAGGUUUGGCACCUCGAUGUCGGCUCAUCGCAUCCUGGAGCUGGAUUCGGUUCCAAGGGUUGGGCUGUUCGCCCAUUAAAGCGGUACGCGAGCUGGGUUCAGAACGUCGUGAGACAGUUCGGUCCCUAUCUGUUGUGGGCGAAGGAGAUCUGCGGAGAGCUGUCCUCAGUACGAGAGGACCGGGAUGGACCUACCGCUGGUGCACCGGUUGUUCCGCCAGGGGCAUAGCCGGGUAGCUAAGUAGGGAAAGGAUAAGCGCUGAAAGCAUCUAAGCACGAAGCCUACUCCAAGAUGAGAUCUCCCAUUCGCAAGAAGUAAGACCCCUUAAAGACGAUAAGGUAGAUAGGCCAGGGAUGGAAGUGCAGUGAUGUACGGAGUUGACUGGUACUAAUCGGUCGAGGACUUAAUC